rnacentral:misc_RNA from 1 species
AAGUCGUAACAAGGUCUCCGUAGGUGAACCUGCGGAGGGAUCAUUGGAAGUAAUAAGCUUGAGCGAAGCGAAAGCUUAUUGGUUUGUUUACGAAGUUACAGUUUGUUCUUUUUUUGACAAUACCUUGCAACUCUAUACAGACAGCAUUUACACAUACAACAAAACAAAUCUAACAACAACUCCUAACAAUGGAUAUCUAGGCUCUC